CCAGAAUUGAACGAAGGUGAAGUUCAGUCCACCGAGAAGGCAGUAGAAGUCCUGGAGAUGAGCCGGUCUGAGAUAGAGGAGGAACUAUACAAGGAGGCUCUCAGACAGGUUUCUAGUGAAAGCAGACACAGCAAGAGGAAGAUCGAAUUGAUAACCAGACAUCUGCAGUUACUGGCCGCCAUGGACCAGCACAUGCAGAAAUACAGGUCACAAGCUUGUUUGCUGGACAAUCUUGUGGAAACCUUC